UCUCCUCAUGGAGCCUCAACAAGUUCCUGCUCAUCACACAGGGAGACCUCAAAUGGCGGUGAUUUUGUUGGGUCUGAUGGUCCUGGCUAGUGUGUUGCUGUCCUGAGCCCCUGUGAUGUGAGCUGGUGUUAAAUCACUGAGUCUCAGGGCGAGUUGGUUCAGUGGGCUCCUUCUUUUUUCCAGCUCUUGGCUUUUUAGAGCUGUGUAGUGGAGUGAGUGUGAAUCACUCAUUUUUAGGUGUUGCCAGGUGUUUGAGUGCUCUUUUUUGCAUUUUGAUAAUAAUUGUUGGGCAUUUUCCUCUGGACCCAGAGGAUACUCUUGCAGACCUCUGCAUGCAGGUGCAAUGCAGUUUCAUUUUGUGAAUGGACCCCACAACUCACAGCCAUAAAGUGCAAUGGGUUCAAUAAUUGAUGUAAAUAGUUUAAUCCACGAUUGAAUUGCUAACUCUAAUUGGAAUGACCUCUUGAUGGCAUAAAAUUCUCUUCUUGCCUUUUCUGUAAGUUCCUUCACAGCCAAGCCAAAGUGUCCUGUUGAACUGAUAGUUAUGCCUAAAUAAGUGUAGUUGUUUGUUAAAUUUUGAUGUUGCCAAUUGUAAAAUUGUUGGUGUUUCCCUGUAGCCUGGAGUGUUUUUGAAAGAUUAAAACUUUGUUUUUUGGUUGA